UACAGAGGGGGCAAGCGUUAUUCGGAAUUAUUGGGCGUAAAGGGCGCGUAGGCGGUUCGUUAAGUCCUGUGUGAAAUCCCCCGGCUCAACUGGGGAACUGCACAGGAAACUAGCGGGCUUGAGUGUGGGAGAGGGAUGCGGAAUUCCAGGUGUAGCGGUGAAAUGCGUAGAUAUCUGGAGGAACACCGGUGGCGAAGGCGGCAUCCUGGACCAUGACUGACGCUGAGGAGCGAAAGCCAGGGGAGCAAACGGG
rnacentral:rRNA from 1 species